GUAAGCUACUAAGAGCGAAUGGUGGAUGCCUUGACUGGUAAAGGCGAUGAAGGACGUACUAGACUGCGAUAAGCUACGGGGAGCUGUCAAGAAGCUUUGAUCCGUAGAUUUCCGAAUGGGGCAACCCAAUGUAUAGAGAUAUACAUUACCUAUAUAGGAGCGAACGAGGGGAAUUGAAACAUCUUAGUACCCUCAGGAAAAGAAAUCAAUAGAGAUUGCGUCAGUAGCGGCGAGCGAAAGCGCAAGAGGGCAAACCCAGUGCUUGCACUGGGGGUUGUAGGACUGCAAUGUGCAAGAGCUGAGUUUAGCAGAACAUUCUGGAAAGUAUAGCCAUAGAGGGUGAUAGUCCCGUAUGCGAAAAACAAAGCUUAGCUAGCAGUAUCCUGAGUAGGGCGGGACACGAGGAAUCCUGUCUGAAUCCGGGUCGACCACGAUCCAACCCUAAAUACUAAUACCAGAUCGAUAGUGCACAAGUACCGUGAGGGAAAGGUGAAAAGAACUGAGGUGAUCAGAGUGAAAUAGAACCUGAAACCAUUUGCUUACAAUCAUUCAGAGCACUAUGUAGCAAUACAGUGUGAUGGACUGCCUUUUGCAUAAUGAGCCUGCGAGUUGUGGUGUCUGGCAAGGUUAAGCAAACGCGAAGCCGUAGCGAAAGCGAGUCUGAAUAGGGCGCUUAGUCAGAUGCUGCAGACCCGAAACGAAGUGAUCUAUCCAUGAGCAAGUUGAAGCUAGUGUAAGAACUAGUGGAGGACUGAACCCAUAGGCGUUGAAAAGCCCCGGGAUGACUUGUGGAUAGGGGUGAAAGGCCAUCAACUUCGUGAUAGCUGGUUCUCUCCGAAAUAUAUUUAGGUAUAGCGUUGUGUCGUAAUAUAAGGGGGUAGAGCACUGAAUGGGCUAGGGCAUACACCAAUGUACCAAACCCUAUCAAACUCCGAAUACCUUAUAUGUAAUCACAGCAGUCAGGCGGCGAGUGAUAAAAUCCGUCGUCAAGAGGGAAACAACCCAGACUACCAGCUAAGGUCCCUAAAUCUUACUUAAGUGGAAAACGAUGUGAAGUUACUUAAACAACCAGGAGGUUGGCUUAGAAGCAGCCAUCCUUUAAAGAAAGCGUAAUAGCUCACUGGUCUAGUGAUUUUGCGCGGAAAAUAUAACGGGGCUAAAGUAAGUACCGAAGCUGUAGACUUAGUUUACUAAGUGGUAGGAGAGCGUUCUAUUUGCGUCGAAGGUAUACCGGUAAGGAGUGCUGGAGCGAAUAGAAGUGAGCAUGCAGGCAUGAGUAGCGAUAAUUAAUGUGAGAAUCAUUAACGCCGUAAACCCAAGGUUUCCUACGCGAUGCUCGUCAUCGUAGGGUUAGUCGGGUCCUAAGUCGAGUCCGAAAGGGGUAGACGAUGGCAAAUUGGUUAAUAUUCCAAUACCAACAUUAGUGUGCGAUGGAAGGACGCUUAGGGCUAAGGGGGCUAGCGGAUGGAAGUGCUAGUCUAAGGUCGUAGGAGGUUAUACAGGCAAAUCCGUAUAACAUACUCCGAGAACUGAAAGGCUUUUUGAAGUCUUCGGAUGGAUAGAAGAACCCCUGAUGCCGUCGAGCCAAGAAAAGUUUCUAAGUUUAGCUAAUGUUGCCCGUACCGUAAACCGACACAGGUGGGUGGGAUGAGUAUUCUAAGGCGCGUGGAAGAACUCUCUUUAAGGAACUCUGCAAAAUAGCACCGUAUCUUCGGUAUAAGGUGUGGUUAGCUUUGUAUUAGGAUUUACUCUGAAAGCAAGGAAACUUACAACAAAGAGUCCCUCCCGACUGUUUACCAAAAACACAGCACUCUGCUAACUCGUAAGAGGAUGUAUAGGGUGUGACGCCUGCCCGGUGCUCGAAGGUUAAUUGAUGGGGUUAGCAUUAGCGAAGCUCUUGAUCGAAGCCCGAGUAAACGGCGGCCGUAACUAUAACGGUCCUAAGGUAGCGAAAUUCCUUGUCGGUUAAAUACCGACCUGCAUGAAUGGCGUAACGAGAUGGGAGCUGUCUCAAAGAGGGAUCCAGUGAAAUUGUAGUGGAGGUGAAAAUUCCUCCUACCCGCGGCAAGACGGAAAGACCCCGUGGACCUUUACUACAGCUUGACACUGCUACUUGGAUAAGAAUGUGCAGGAUAGGUGGGAGGCUUUGAGUAUAUGACGCCAGUUGUAUAUGAGCCAUUGUUGAGAUACCACUCUUUCUUAUUUGGGUAGCUAACCAGCUUGAGUUAUCCUCAAGUGGGACAAUGUCUGGUGGGUAGUUUGACUGGGGCGGUCGCCUCCCAAAUAAUAACGGAGGCUUACAAAGGUUGGCUCAGAACGGUUGGAAAUCGUUCGUAGAGUAUAAAGGUAUAAGCCAGCUUAACUGCAAGACAUACAAGUCAAGCAGAGACGAAAGUCGGUCUUAGUGAUCCGGUGGUUCUGUGUGGAAGGGCCAUCGCUCAAAGGAUAAAAGGUACCCCGGGGAUAACAGGCUGAUCUCCCCCAAGAGCUCACAUCGACGGGGAGGUUUGGCACCUCGAUGUCGGCUCAUCGCAUCCUGGGGCUGGAGCAGGUCCCAAGGGUAUGGCUGUUCGCCAUUUAAAGCGGUACGCGAGCUGGGUUCAGAACGUCGUGAGACAGUUCGGUCCCUAUCUGCCGUGGGCGUAAGAAGAUUGAAGAGAUUUGACCCUAGUACGAGAGGACCGGGUUGAACAAACCACUGGUGUAGCUGUUGUUCUGCCAAGAGCAUCGCAGCGUAGCUAAGUUUGGAAAGGAUAAACGCUGAAAGCAUCUAAGCGUGAAGCCAACUCUAAGAUGAAUCUUCUCUAAGCUCUCUAGAAGACUACUAGUUUGAUAGGCUGGGUGUGUAAUGGAUGAAAGUCCUUUAGCUGACCAGUACUAAUAGAGCGUUUGGCUUAUCUUU
rnacentral:rRNA from 1 species